ACAUCGUUUACAUCCAUACAACCUUUGUAAGCAUUUGCACCUCUCACUGGUGUGCGGAGCAAACAGUUCACCUUCCUCUGCUGAAGUGCUCUGCUCCUACUCUCACCCCUCUUUCUCAAGUGGCCUCAUGAGCUUACAGACAAGAUUGCCCACGACCCCCAGAUUCUGCAACAACAAAAUGGACUGGGAGCUCCUUGAGGCUGUGGCUGUGGUCUUUAGCCGGGAAGAGUGGGCAUUGCUGGAUCCUGCUCAGCAGAAACUCUACAGAGAUGUGAUGGAGGAAACUCUGGGAAACCUGGCCUCCGUAGUGAAUUACUCAGUUUUUCCAAACCUUAAUGGAGGGAAAAUAUUAUCUACUGAACAUAUAUUGCUACAGUUUAUGAAGAAUGACAUCUGGUCUUCCAUUUUAGUUGAAUCCUCCGAAUCUCACAUCAGUAAAGAUCCGCAUGUAAAGCAGGGGCUAAAUUUGAGUGCUCUGAAUGGUCAGAAACACUGUGAAAGUAACGAAGGCAGUCAGUGUGGAAAUUCCUCCAACCAGACACGAAGUUUUCCUGAAGGAGAUCCAUUUCAAUGGUGUGAGUGUGGGAGAGUCUUCGUGGAUCACGCAUCAUAUGAUCAUCAUAUCAGGUCUCACACAGGAUGCAACAGCUGUGAUGGCAAGAAAUGUGAAGAAGCUUGUGACUCUAACCUGACCUCUCCUCUGAAAACUAUUUCAGGACAGAAAACCUGUAGUAAAAAGGUACCAGGCAAGAAUUUCAAUUUAGCAACCCUUAAGAAUCCUCUGAGAGCAUACGCCGUUGAGAAAUUCUAUCAAUUUUCUAAAUCUGAGAAUGAUUUCUGUGGUUUCUCAACCUUUUGGGAUCCUGUGAGCAG